rnacentral:rRNA from 1 species
GAUGAACGCUGGCGGCGUGCCUAAUACAUGCAAGUCGAGCGAACAGACGAGGAGCUUGCUCCUUUGACGUUAGCGGCGGACGGGUGAGUAACACGUGGAUAACCUACCUAUAAGACUGGGAUAACUUCGGGAAACCGGAGCUAAUACCGGAUAACAUGUUGAACCGCAUGGUUCAACAGUGAAAGACGGUCUUGCCGUCACUUAUAGAUGGAUCCGCGCCGCAUUAGCUAGUUGGUAAGGUAACGGCUUACCAAGGCAACGAUGCGUAGCCGACCUGAGAGGGUGAUCGGCCACACUGGAACUGAGACACGGUCCAGACUCCUACGGGAGGCAGCAGUAGGGAAUCUUCCGCAAUGGGCGAAAGCCUGACGGAGCAACGCCGCGUGAGUGAAGAAGGUCUUCGGAUCGUAAAACUCUGUUAUUAGGGAAGAACAAAUGUGUAAGUAACUAUGCACGUCUUGACGGUACCUAAUCAGAAAGCCACGGCUAACUACGUG